rnacentral:rRNA from 1 species
AUACGGAGGGUCCAAGCGUUAUCCGGAAUCAUUGGGUUUAAGGGGUUCGCAGGCGGUUUAAUAAGUCAGUGGUGAAAUCCCGUAGCUCAACUACGGAACUGCCAUUGAUACUGUUAGACUUGAAUAUAGUUGGAGUAGGCGGAAUGUGUAGUGUAGCGGUGAAAUGCUUAGAUAUUACACAGAACACCGAUAGCGAAGGCAGCUUACUAAACUAUGAUUGACGCUCAUGAACGAAAGCGUGGGGAGCGAACAGGAUUAGAUACCCUAGUAGUCC